rnacentral:rRNA from 1 species
UUACUACAACAUCAGGUAGUAAAAACUUUAAACCAAUAUAAUUUGGCGGUCUAGUUAAACUUAAAGAAACUCGUCUUAUAAUCGAAAAUACUCGAUAAUUUUUACUCAAUUUAUUAAAGUUUAUAUACCGCCGUUAAAAGAAUCUAUUUAAUAAUAUCUACUCAAAAUCUAUAUUUACCAAAAAUCAGGCCAUGGUAUAACCUAUUAUUAAGAAAAGAUAAGUUACAUUAAAAACAAUUUAAGGACGUAAACAAAAAUUUUAUCUGAAAAAGAAUUUAUAUGUAUAUAUAUAUUAAAAAUUUAAAUAGAAACUAAAAACAAGACGC